CAACGUAACACAACCUUCCACGAUGACGCCCGUUGGCAUAUUGAAUGUUGAGAAGUAUAUUUAUACGCCCCUACUGGAAAAAAGUCGGUACUACUAAAACUCUGUCCCACAAAACAUCAGUUCGGUUUCUUUUGGGUACACCCUCGUUUAGUACGUAAAAAGAUACGGAACUUCCGUCCGACGAUACUUUAUUUGAAAUAACUAUCAAAAU